CAGUUCGUUUGAUUUGUUUUAUUCACUGGACACACGUGCGGCUGCUGCUUUGUUACAUUGGACACCAAACUUAAAAUUCUCCGCGCUGUUCUGUUAAUUACAGAUUAUCUGUUUACAUAUAACAACACGCGAAAGCAGAGGCAAUAGCAGCGACGAGGAAGCUCAAAGUAACGGCAGGCCCGGCUACUGUCUUGGCGACGGCACCAGCUAGAACGUAUACGCCUAGACCCAAGGUGCUGCCCACUCCCAGCGCCGUCAGAUCCAGUAAUCCAAGACAUCGCGCCAGCUCGCUACCACCUUGACUGUCAUCCAGCCGCUUGCAGCGCCGCAGCGCCGACAGUAUCCUAGCGCAACCCAUCUUGUCUGCCGAAGCUUACUGAGAAAAAAUACGAAAAAUGAAAAUCAUAAUAUGUAAAAGUAUAUCUAAAUCAAUGUUUUCUGUUUUCUUUUUUUUAAACUUAUUUCCGGUUUAUAUAUAUUUAUAAUAACUUCUCAAUGACCUAGUAUUUUUUUUUAAUAUAGAAUUUUGCGUUUGUAGUCAAAAAGUCUUAUGAGUUUAUAAUUGGCUUUAAAUCGUCUAAGAAAGGAUUAUGUGCCAUAAAAUAUGAUGACUGUCGUUAAAUCGCAGCUUAUCAUGACAAAUCUGAAUUGUUUUAUUGUUUAAAACUGGCUUCACUUGUAGAUUUGAAAUAUAGAAGAUUUCAUUGUACAUGAUUUUUUUUUAAAGUAAUACUGGCUCGUUCUGUUAUGGAAAACUUCUUGAUGUAUGGUUUAACACCAAAACUUCCUACGUCUAAUGAUUAAUUUAAACUAAAGAAAGUUGUUCCAUUUCCUAUUGGGAAGUUAUUAUUUUUUUAUUUCUAUAAGGUGUGAAAAUUGUAUAGAAGUUCAGUAUCAAUCUAAAUUGUAAACAGGAUGUAAGAUUGAAUAAUGGUAUCAAAGCAAUUAUGUCUAAGUUAAA